UGGGGAAUAUUGGACAAUGGGGGGAACCCUGAUCCAGCCAUGCCGCGUGUGUGAAGAAGGCCUUAUGGUUGUAAAGCACUUUAAGCGAGGAGGAGGGUACUGGUAUUAAUACUACCAGGUACUGGACGUUACUCGCAGAAUAAGCACCGGCUAACUCUGUGCCAGCAGCCGUGGUAAUACAGAGGGUGCGAGCGUUAAUCGGAUUUACUGGGCGUAAAGCGUGCGUAGGCGGCUAAUUGAGUCGGAUGUGAAAUCCCCGAGCUUAACUUGGGAAUUGCAUUCGAUACUGGUUAGCUAGAGUGUGGGAGAGGAUGGUAGAAUUCCAGGUGUAGCGGUGAAAUGCGUAGAGAUCUGGAGGAAUACCGAUGGCGAAGGCAGCCAUCUGGCCUAACACUGACGCUGAGGUACGAAAGCAUGGGGAGCAAACAGG
rnacentral:rRNA from 1 species